AAACACCUCAAAGAAUCGCGAACGAAGCGUAACAUACUUAAAGUGAACUAAUUUUAUUAGUUAGACUUUUUUAAAACUGUUUUUUCAUCAUGUAUGAAAAAAUAGUCAAUGCUUUGGGGAAAGUCCUCGGAUACUAGGGCAGAAAGUGUCGCCUUUAGUAUAGGGUCAUAUUAAAGUUCAAUAAUCCUGCGAAGGGCUUAUAUUAUUUUAAGUCAUAGCUCUAUGGAUAGAUGAAUAUUUAAUAUUGAUCAUCAUAGCAAAGUUAUGCGAUUGUAUCAAAUCUAUAAUUUUAUUAUUGAAGAAAUUGUGAGACUUAUUUUUUUAUAAAAAUUUGUCUCUGUUCCGAUAUAAUAAGUGAUAUAACACAACGAGGCUUACUCUUGAGAUGUU
rnacentral:RNase_MRP_RNA from 1 species